AAUGCUUCAAGAAGCUUCAAGCUGGCUUUAUAUUUCUGGGUCAAGUGCAGUAAACGCCUUUAUGCCUCAGGGAAUUGGACCACCAAAUACCAAAAGCUAUAGUUUAAAUGACAGCAUCUCAUAAGAGUCAAAGACAGAAAAAAAAAAAUGUGCUUUGUGUUGUAAAACAUUGGCUGAUGUUGUUGAGAUAUUUAAAAUUUCUGGAGGGAGAAAUGCAUUUGAGCAGAUGGCACAUACGUUACAAUAAGUGCACUAAAAAGUCACGCGUGCGGGAGAAGCAGAAGCCGGGUAUAACUUGACUGAACGGAAAUAGAAUCACACGCCCAUCAUCAUAAUAAAAACCAAGAAAAAAAACAAAAUAAAAAAAUAUUUGACUGCCUUAUACGUAGACCCUUUUUACCAAAAGAAAAUAUAUGCUGGGAAAUACCGUCACAUGGAUUUUAUAAAAUACUUGGCCAAACCAAAGAACGAUG